GGUUGCGUGGUGUAGUUGGUUAUCACACUUGCCUCACAUUCUGUGUUUCGCAAGUGGUCCCCGGUUCGAGCCCGGGCGCAAUCA